CUACGUGCCAGCAGCCGCGGUAAUACGUAUGGGGCAAGCGUUAUCCGGAUUUACUGGGUGUAAAGGGAGCGUAGACGGAUAGGCAAGUCUGGUGUGAAAGCCCGGGGCUCAACCCCGGGCCUGCUUUGGAAACUGUUUAUCUUGAGUGCUGGAGAGGUAAGUGGAAUUCCUAGUGUAGCGGUGAAAUGCGUAGAUAUUAGGAGGAACACCAGUGGCGAAGGCGGCUUACUGGACAGUAACUGACGUUGAGGCUCGAAAGCGUGGGGAGCA
rnacentral:rRNA from 1 species